GAUUUCAGGUACAUUUCUGCUUAACAUGCCAGAAAAAUUGGACAACCAGGUCAAUUUGUGGAACUCGCUGAAUUGGUACAAUACAGUCUUCCAGCUGAUUAAGUCAGCCUGAAGUACAACACGUACAACAGCAGCAUUCAGUAAACAAGAUGCUGCUCUGAAGAAAAAAGACAGACUGCGUUUCUUUAACUUGACGGUUUCUUGCUGCACAUUUUAAAUAAAACUUAAACAGAUAGGCCUUUGGGGAUCCUCCUCUCCUUUGAUAUAACGUCAAGGGAUCAGGUCAUCCAACAGAUAAUAAUGGUGAAAGGCAGGAACACAAUGGAGAAUCAAGAUAGAUUUUGCACCUUGAUCAAAUCAAUGUGGGCACCAACUCCAUGAGAAAUUGCUGACCUUCUGCCCUCUGACAUUCAGAUCAGUUCUGCGCUCUACAACACAGAAAUCAGAGAGGGCUGGAAGUCAGGUACCCGUACAUCGGAGCUACUGCUUUGCCUCAGGACUUGUAUUGAGAAAUAUAUCUGACAUAACCACUAUAUAUACCUGAAAUAUAAUCACCAUGUAUUAGCUAUUUACUAUACUAUGUAAUUACUUCCAGGUACUGAAUAUUAGUAUGUAUUAUUUUACUAGACACAUUUUGUUAUGUGUUGUUUUCACUAGAUACUUUGUACUCUCUUAGCUGCAUAUUAUGGCACUUACAGGACACCUGUUUGUUUAGCAGCACUAUUAGCUGAGAUGUAUCCCAUGUAUUACACUCAGCCUUUGUUUAGUAUGAGAUAACGGUGGCGGACAGGAUGCUGCGAGCAGAAUGUAAUGUGAGGGAGGUUGUCUGGAAAACAUAAUCUUGGCCACGAAUAAGGUCCCAAUGCGAACGGGUGAAAAAUAAUGGUGACGCACCGAGAGCUGGGCAAGAGCGAUUGAUUAGUUAAUAUAUAGAUGAUAUGCAAUUAUCAAUUGAUUGGGUAUGCUGAUGAAACCGGAAUGUAACUGAGAUAAGAAAUUACUAUAAAGAAUGCUGUACACUGGAGCUCGGUGGGCUUUCGGUGACGUUCAUUGAUUGCCUCAGCCUUUGUUUGCAAAUAAAGGUUUAAACUUCUCGAAGAAUUGUCUGCGUCUCCAGGUCAUUUCAAGUAACCACCACAAAAUUGGCGACUGCAGCAGGACCGGGAAGAGACCCGAGGAAAAGAUUCGGUGGGUUGAGGCCACUUCCCGGUCCCUCGGGAGCCCUCACUGAGCUAACAGAAUUAUGGGUGCACCCAGAAAAAAGAUAAGCGCUUUUUGCGACAAUUUGGAUUGAAAUUCUGUUGGUUUUGGGGGUCUCGGGGACUCAGAAGUGUGUAGCAACUGCCGAAGGAUCUCUCCGAUCCAACAAAUCUGGCAGAAUUGAGGGUUUGACAGGAGGCUCAGAGGAUUGAUCGAGAACACUGCAGUGGGGGUAAGUAUGAAUAAGGUAACAAGAAGUUGAGUAAAGAAAAAUCCAUGUGGUGUUGGUAAAUCCCUGUGGGUACCACUUCACACAAAGCGAAGGGCUGAACGGGCAGGGUAAGGAAUAAUAGAGUAAAUCCCUGUGGAUACCGCUUCGGACAAAGCGAAGGGCUGAAUGGGUAGGGUAAGGAAUAAUAGAGUAAAUCUCUGUGGAUACCACUUCGGACAAAGCGAAGGGCUGAACGGGCAGGGAGAGUGAAGAGAAACUUCUGUGAGUACUGCCCUAGGUUGAGGGCUGCUCAGACAGAACGGAACAGAAGGUAAGAAGAAUUUGAUAAAUUGCUUAAACACUGGUAGAAUAAACUGUAGGGCUAGGCGUGGAGAUAGGAUCGGGGAGGUAUUUGAACUGUGAGAUUUUUUUUUAAAGAAAUAAUACCUAAGAGAAGAAGAGAAUAACAUGGUGGAAGAAAAAGGAACAGCAGUAGACAUACGGUGCAAGAAAUUCCCAGUAAGUAGAGGUGAGAUUAUUGCAAUUUCAGAGAAAUGGGAAAAGAGAGCCAAAAACCGGUGCACAAAAUGGCCAAAAGAAGUGACAUUCGAUGUAAGCUUGUGUGAAGAGAUGGAAGCACUAAUUAAAAAUCAUAAACCAAACAAUAAGUCCAAGAAAAGGGAGGAAAGGAGAGAGCAGGAGAUAGAAGUAUUGAAACUUUAUAGGAUGAAGGGAGAAAGAUUGAGAAAGACAGGCAGGAUAUUGAUAAUAAACGAAAAAGACAAAAGGGAACCGGAAAAACAGGAGGAAAAACCUAACAGAAGCCCGGCUUCAGCUCUAUACCCGCAUCUGAAAGAACUAGAAAGACACCCUCCCUAUUAUGAGCAGGGAACACCCAAGCAAUGCCCCAUAAUAUCAGGAACAAUGAGCCUGCAGGGGGAAGUAGAGGUCUGGGACCAUGAGGAGGAAAGAAGGAAAUAUGAGAAGGUGAGAGAGGUGCUGAGGAAUGAGAUAGAGGGAGAAAAGAUAAGAUAGAACAGGAAAGAAGGGAGAUGGAAAGAAAAGUGGAAAGGCUACAGAAGCAGAGAGAGAAGUGGGAUUAUGAGGAGUAUCGGUUAUACUGUAGAGACAGACAGACUAGAAGAGAACAGGAAUCAUCUAGACGGCAAGAACGGAGUGAGUUGAGAGGAAGUUAGAGGAAGGUAGGAGACGAGAGUUUGGGGGAAGUACGAGAGAGGACGGAGAGGCAGAUAUUGGCGAUGGAAGAGGGGACUAGAGUGGAGAAGGAGCAAGGAAGAAGGUAUACCCCAGGAAGGUAUGAGUGGCAGCCAGUAGUACUAGGGCCAGCAAUAGAUAAAGAACCAAGUGAGGAAGGAAGCUUGAUUACAUGGAACGGGGAGAAGGAAAUGCUGCCAUUGCUGGUAAAGGAUCAGGACAAGUACAGUAUAUCCCUUGGGGAUUCCAGGACCUGGAAGGGCUGAAAAAUACUCUGCCUAGUCUGCACGAGGGGGCAGGAAAGUGGAUUAGAGCCUUUUGAGGAGGAAACAACGGGACGAUUGUUGGCUAUGGGAGAUUUGAAGGCACUGCUGAUAAGGUUGAUGGGAACUUCCAAGCUGAAAGAACUGAUGGAAAUGGCUGGCUUACAGAAUGUGGACAGCCCACAGACUGAUGGGGCCAAUUUUGAUCCAGUGAGACAGAGGGUAUGGCAGAGCCUCAGGAAGCUUUAUCCACCCAGAGUAGACCCCAAAGCCUUAAAGGGGGAACUACUGGGAGACACUGAAAACCCAGCAGCCUAUGUAGAAAACCAGUUGAAAAGAUGGAGACUGGAGACUGAGCAAGAGGUGGAAAAUAGCUUGUUUCUGAACUCACUGUUCUGUCAGAGCAUUUUGGAUGCAAUGCCUCCGCAGGUCAAGUCUAAAUUGGAGGAAGUGGUUGGGCUGUCAUCACUGACACUGAAUGAUCACUGAGCAUUCAGUGAUCACGUAGUCCACGCGGUGGAGAAAUAUCGGAGAGACAAACGAAAGCUGCUGAGCAGCAAGAAGAGGUGCAGCGAAAGCUAUUGCAAAUGCAGCUCGAAGAACUGAAAAAGGACAAAGAAAAAAAGCAAAAAGAUGCUGCCAGCCGUCACUAGUGUGAGUACAGCCAUUACACCAUUAGAUGGAGGAACCAGGCAUUCUGUCAGUCAAGGGCCAGAAAACCCCAUGCCAAUAAUGAAUGUCUUCGGAGGAGCAUUUCCACAGAUGCCCUAUCAGGGACAGAGUAGAGUUAAGCAACAGCCCAGACAGGACUGGAAGUCCCAAGGAGGGGGGUAGAGGAGUUAUGGGCAGACUGGUUAGAAAGCAAACUAGGGGGAUGGGGUGCGUGGCUGACUAAAUUGGCAAUGACUGCAGGCAUUGUGCUGAUAAGUUGUGCAUUUAUUCUGUGCUGUUUUCUUCCAUGUCUCAAGACUUUGAUAAUGCGUGCGACAGCAAAACAAUUCCCGAUGCUCCUGGAAAUUGUUGAAUCUGGCCCUAGACAAGGAGAAAAGCCGAUGAUGUACUGUUACAGUCUGCACGAUGCACCAAGCGGACUGGAAGGUGUUAAUGAUGUGGACACUAGUCUGUAAGAGUGUCUGAGUCUUUUUUCCUGUCUCAGCUACGGAGGGACAGGUUUUUGGCUCAGCAGCCUAGGAUAACAGAGAGAGAUCAUUUUGAGCUCUGAGUAUGGAAAUUGUAGUUGACCCAAAUUUGGGAUAAAAAUGCUGGACUUUAUUUUGGCGUUGGUGCACGGCCUCUGAGAGUUCUCUUCCUGUGUGAGACCCUGUGGGUCUCAAAGGGGGGAUUAUAUUGAGAAAUAUACCUGACAUAACCACUCAUAACCACUAUAUAUAUACCUGAAAUAUAAUCACUAUGUAUUAGCUAUUUACUAUACUAUGUUAUCACUUCUAGGUACUGAAUAUCAGUAUGUAUUAUUUUACUAGACACGUUUUGUUAUUUGUUGUUUUCACUAGAUACUUUGUACUCUCUUAGCUGCAUAUUAUGGCACUUACAGGACACCUGUUUGUUUAGCAGUACUAUUAGCUGAGAUGUAUCCCAUGUAUUACACUCAGCCUUUGUUUAGUAUGAGAUAACGGUGGCGGACAGGAUGCUGCGAGCAGAAUGUAAUGUGAGGGAGGUUGUCUGGAAAACAUAAUCUUGGCCACGAAUAAGGUCCCAAUGCGAAUGGGUGAAAAAUAAUGGUGACGCACCGAGGGCUGGGCAAGAGCGAUUGAUUAGUUAAUAUAUAGAUGAUAUGCAAUUAUAAAUUGAUUGGGUAUGCUGAUGAAACCGAAAUGUAACUGAGAUAAGAAAUUACUAUAAAGAAUGCUGUACACCGGAGCUCGGCGGGCUUUUGGUGACAAGUUCAUUGAUUGCCUCAGCCUUUGUUUGCAAAUAAAGGUUUAAA